UAGCGGUGGAAUGCGUAGAUAUAUGGAAGAACACCAGUGGCGAAGGCGGCUGUCUAGUCUGUAACUGACGCUGAGGCUCGAAAGCAUGGGUAGCGAACAGGAUUAGAUACCCUGGUAGUCCAUGCCGUAAACGAUGAGUGCUAAGUGUUGGAGGGUUUCCCCCUUCAGUGCUGCAGCUAACGCAUUAAGCACUCCGCCUGGGGAGUACGACCGCAAGGUUGAAACUCAAAGGAAUUGACGGGGGCCCGCACAAGCGGUGGAGCAUGUGGUUUAAUUCGAAGCUACGCGAAGAACCUUACCAGGUCUUGACAUCUUCUGCCAAUCUUAGAGAUAAGACGUUCCCUUCGGGGACAGAAUGACAGGUGGUGCAUGGUUGUCGUCAGCUCGUGUCGUGAGAUGUUGGGUUAAGUCCCGCAACGAGCGCAACCCUUAUUAUCAGUUGCCAGCAUUCAGUUGGGCACUCUGGUGAGACUGCCGGUGACAAACCGGAGGAAGGUGGGGAUGACGUCAAAUCAUCAUGCCCCUUAUGACCUGGGCUACACACGUGCUACAAUGGACGGUACAACGAGUCGCGAAGUCGUGAGGCUAAGCUAAUCUCUUAAAGCCGUUCUCAGUUCGGAUUGUAGGCUGCAACUCGCCUACAUGAAGUUGGAAUCGCUAGUAAUCGCGGAUCAGCAUGCCGCGGUGAAUACGUUCCCGGGCCUUGUACACACCGCCCGUCACACCAUGAGAGUUUGUAACACCCAAAGCCGGUGAGAUAACCUUCGGGAGUCAGCCGUCUAAGGUGGGACAGAUGAUUAGGGUGAAGUCGUAACAAGGUAACCAAGGGCGAAUCG
rnacentral:rRNA from 1 species